GCCUGCACAACAGAGGAAACUGGCCCCCAGGGUCCACCUCAGGACGUGGUCCCUCUGGCAGCUCUGUCUCCCAGGCCUCCCUACGUGAUGCCAGGCCACCAGCUCCCAUCUACCAGGAAUUACUACGCCCCGACACAGACGUUUACUGUCAUAUCAGCCACAAAGCAGGUGUGGGUCCUUAGUUCCUCCAGACAUGUCUCCUUAACAGACUGUGGGAAAGAGCUUACCUGAGACCCAAGACCCGAGUGAGGUCAAGAGGAAGAGCCUGAGGCAGAGAACCAGCUCUGACACCUGAGGCUAUUCAGGAACCUGGGCCCAGGCUCAGGGUCCUCGUGGAUUCCUGGAGGCCCUGACAGGCUGCCCUGAACUCUAGAUGAACCAGAACUCAGGCUGCGAUUCCCACAGUUGGGGGAUGUUUCAACAGGGCAAGUGACUGGGCCCGUGACCCACUGCGGACCACCAGAGAGAUCUGAAUAAAAAGCACUUUCCUUCCCCUGGUUGCAAAAUAUACUGCCCUUGGGUCCUGUCCAGCAAGAAAUUCACCUGAAUCUCUGCUCCGGUCUCUCCAUGGUUCCUCAGGGAACGCAUUAGCUCUAGUUACCUGACCUCCCCAUCUAUUUCCUGGGGGAAAGGAAGGAGAAGAAUGUGAGAAUGGAGGAAGGGGUCAUGGUAACAGGAAAGGAGGGUCACCAGACCCUUUGCAGCCACGUGGGCACUCAGCAGUCCUCACAGUACCCUGGGGUCCUAGGCACCUCCCAGUGCCUGCUCACCUGGCAUGGGGUCUCUGGAGCACAGAAUGUGGGACCAUCUGAGACCCACUAGAACCCGAGUCAGGAACGACGAGGUGUGGGUGAGACAGCUAUUAUGGGUGAGGCCCCUUUGCAGCCUCUUGGUGUCCUGAGCCCUCUGGCCCUCCUCUCCAGGCCCUGCUGGCCCCAACUGG